GAUGAACGCUAGCUACAGGCUUAACACAUGCAAGUCGAGGGGAAACGAUGAGAGAGCUUGCUCUCUUAGUCGUCGACCGGCGCACGGGUGAGUAACGCGUAUCCAACCUGCCUCUGACCAAGGGAUAACCCGUCGAAAGUCGGACUAAUACCUUAUGCAGUCGUCGGAAGUCAUCUGAUGACGACGAAAGAUUUCAUCGGUGAGAGAUGGGGAUGCGUCUGAUUAGCUUGUUGGCGGGGUAACGGCCCACCAAGGCGACGAUCAGUAGGGGUUCUGAGAGGAAGGUCCCCCACAUUGGAACUGAGACACGGUCCAAACUCCUACGGGAGGCAGCAGUGAGGAAUAUUGGUCAAUGGGCGUAAGCCUGAACCAGCCAAGUAGCGUGCAGGAUGACGGCCCUAUGGGUUGUAAACUGCUUUUAUGCGGGGAUAAAGUGAGGGACGUGUCCUUCAUUGCAGGUACCGCAUGAAUAAGGACCGGCUAAUUCCGAG
rnacentral:rRNA from 1 species